ensembl:lncRNA
UCAAGGAAGAAGAGUAUGUGUAACUAUUAAGGUCUGUUUGUGGAUUGCUAUUGUUUGAAUGUUCUUUCCAAAACUCAUGCUGAAAUUUAAUGUGAUUGUGACAGUGUUAAGAGGUGGGACUGUUAAGAUAUGUUUAGGCCACGAAGGAUAUACCCUUGUGAAUGGAUGAAUGCUGUUAUCUCAGGACAAGAUUCCUGAUGAAGGGAUGAAGGCUGCCCACUUCCUCUCACUCUCUCGUGUGCACCUUUUAUGCCCUAUACACUUUCCCCCCUGGGAUGAUGCAGCAAGAAGGCACUUGCCAGAUGGGGGCCCCUCAACUUUCUAGCCUCAAGAACUAUAAGAAAUACAUUUAUUUUAUUUAUAAAUUACUCAGUCUGUGGUAUUCUGUUAGAGCCACACAAAAUGGACUAAAACAAAUGUGUUGUGGAGAAGGAUAAGGUGAAAUAGUGUGAAAGCUGCAGUGAGCUACAAGUGUGCCACUGUAUUCUAACCUGGGUGACAGAGCAAGAACCUGCAAAAGAAAAGAAAAGAAAAGAAAAGAAAGAGAAAGAGAGAAAGAAAGAAAGAAAGAAAGAAAGAAAGAAAGAAAGAAAGAAAGAAAGAAAGAAAGAGAAAGAGGGGAAGGGAGGGGCAAAGGGAACAGGGAGGGGAGGGGAGGGGAAGAGAAAAAAAAAAAAGAAAAGAAGUGGAAAUUCCAGAAUUGUCUUGUCACAGUAUUUAGGGGAGAGAUCAAGAGGCAAGAAGAUGGGAGAGGUGGGCAUGCCAUAUAAUACUGAGGAAUCUACCGACUAACUUUUUUUCCCAUGAGGAGUAGAACCUCCCCUUUACUAAGGUGAAACAUGCUAGUGAGCGGGGCAGAGCUCAGUGGUACCUGUCGUCUAUAGUAGAUGCAGAGUUGAUGGUUGGAGAUAAUGCCAGAGAAGUGGAAUUCCCAGCCUUAAUGGUGUUGAUAAGAUUCAAGAAUAGCAGUAUUCGGAUGGCAAUAUUUGGCCAUCAGCAUUAAGGAUGACAUAAUUACCAAAACAACAGCAAUUGAGUGUCCUAGCCUGCAUGGAUCUGUGGUUAUGGCUAAUAUUCCAAGAUGUUCCUGAAGAAAAAGAGAUAUGGGCAUCAAACAAGACUUUUACUGCUGCAAUAAAACUAUCAUAAUGCCUUGUGCAGGUUCCAGAACUGAGGCAUUUCUCAGACUCAUAGCCCAUUGAUUGAAAAGGUAGCCAGUUCUAAAUAAAAGACCCUGAAAGUUACAGCAAGGAUACAUAGUAGCUAUAACCCAAUCCUUCCCCAAAGAAAUAUGUAGUAAUAUACCGGAGAAAUGUACAGUAAUUGAAGGUGAAUACCAGUAUCUUUCAAGGGUUGUUGUACAGAGUACCUGAAUUGACACUAAUACUAUCAUUGUGGGGCCCCUGUUGAACUGGGGCAUAGAAAGGCAGACAGACAGAUGGAGACUUUUUCCAAGGCUGUCUCACAGUGGGUCUAACAGGACCGUGAUCCCACUUUGUGAUCAUGUCUUCAGUUCAAGAAUGCACUAUGGAGAUGGACAUGUUUAUCACUGUAAAUCCUUCACUGUUUUCUUCACCUAUGGAGUAAGAGC